AUUGAACGCUGGCGGCAGGCUUAACACAUGCAAGUCGAGCGGAGCGGCAGACGGGUGAGUAAUGCCUAGGAAUCUGCAUGGUAGUGGGGGAUAACGUCCGGAAACGGGCGCUAAUACCGCAUACUAUCAGAUGAGCCUAGGUCGGAUUAGGUAGGUGGUGGGGUAAAGGCCUACCAAGGCGACGACCCGUAACUGGUCUGAGAGGAUGAUCAGCCACACUGGAACUGAGACACGGUCCAGACUCCUACGGGAGGCAGCAGUGGGGAAUAUUGCACAAUGGGCGCAAGCCUGAUGCAGCCAUGCCGCGUGUGUGAAGAAGGCCUUCGGGUUGUAAAGCACUUUCAGCGGGGAGGCGUUACCCGCAGAAGAAGCACCGGCUAACUCCGUGCCAGCAGCCGCGGUAAUAC
rnacentral:rRNA from 1 species